rnacentral:rRNA from 1 species
GCAGUCGAACGAUGAAGCUGGAGCUUGCUCUGGUGGAUUAGUGGCGAACGGGUGAGUAACACGUGAGUAACCUGCCCUUGACUCUGGGAUAAGCGUUGGAAACGACGUCUAAUACCGGAUACGAGCUUCAGCCGCAUGGCUAGGAGCUGGAAAGAAUUUUGGUCAAGGAUGGACUCGCGGCCUAUCAGCUUGUUGGUGAGGUAAUGGCUCACCAAGGCGACGACGGGUAGCCGGCCUGAGAGGGUGACCGGCCACACUGGGACUGAGACACGGCCCAGACUCCUACGGGAGGCAGCAGUGGGGAAUAUUGCACAAUGGGCGAAAGCCUGAUGCAGCAACGCCGCGUGAGGGACGACGGCCUUCGGGUUGUAAACCUCUUUUAGCAGGGAAGAAGCGAAAGUGACGGUACCUGCAGAAAAAGCACCGGCUAACUACGUGCCAGCAGCCGCGGUAAUACGUAGGGUGCAAGCGUUGUCCGGAAUUAUUGGGCGUAAAGAGCUCGUAGGCGGUUUGUCGCGUCUGCUGUGAAAACGCGAGGCUCAACCUCGCGCCUGCAGUGGGUACGGGCAGACUAGAGUGCGGUAGGGGAGAUUGGAAUUCCUGGUGUAGCGGUGGAA